GAUGAACGCUAGCUACAGGCUUAACACAUGCAAGUCGAGGGGAAACGGCAUUGAGUGCUUGCACUCUUUGGACGUCGACCGGCGCACGGGUGAGUAACGCGUAUCCAACCUUCCCAUUACUGUGGGAUAACCUGCCGAAAGGCAGACUAAUACCGCAUAGUCUUCGAUGACGGCAUCAGAUUUGAAGUAAAGAUUUAUCGGUAAUGGAUGGGGAUGCGUCUGAUUAGCUUGUUGGCGGGGUAACGGCCCACCAAGGCUACGAUCAGUAGGGGUUCUGAGAGGAAGGUCCCCCACAUUGGAACUGAGACACGGUCCAAACUCCUACGGGAGGCAGCAGUGAGGAAUAUUGGUCAAUGGACGGAAGUCUGAACCAGCCAAGUAGCGUGCAGGAUGACGGCCCUAUGGGUUGUAAACUGCUUUUGUAUGGGGAUAAAGUUAGGGACGUGUCUCUAUUUGCAGGUACCAUACGAAUAAGGACCGGCUAAUUCCGUG
rnacentral:rRNA from 1 species